CGGCACAUGUUGGAGUACAC
rnacentral:miRNA from 1 species